rnacentral:rRNA from 1 species
GAUGAACGCUGGCGGCAUGCCUAAUACAUGCAAGUCGAACGAGAGGAAGGAAAGCUUGCUUUUCUGAAUCUAGUGGCGAACGGGUGAGUAACACGUAGGUAACCUGCCCAUGUGCCCGGGAUAACUUCUGGAAACGGAUGCUAAAACCGGAUAGGUAGCAGACAAGCAUUUGACUGCUAUUAAAGUGGCUAAGGCCAUGAACAUGGAUGGACCUGCGGUGCAUUAGCUAGUUGGUGAGGUAACGGCCCACCAAGGCGACGAUGCAUAGCCGGCCUAAGAGGGCGGAGGGCCACAUUGGGACUGAGACACGGCCCAAACGCCUACGGGAGGCAGCAGUAGGGAAUUUUCGUCAAUGGGGGGAACCCUGAACGAGCAAUGCCGCGUGAGUGAGGAAGGUCUUCGGAUCGUAAAGCUCUGUUGUAAGAGAAAAACGACAUUCAUAGGGAAUGAUGAGUGAGUGAUGGUAUCUUACCAGAAAGUCACGGCUAACUACGUGCCAGCCGCCGCCGUAA